UACAGAGGUCCCGAGCGUUGUUCGGAUUCACUGGGCGUAAAGGGUGCGUAGGUGGUGAGGUAAGUCGGAUGUGAAAUCUCCGGGCUCAACCCGGAAACUGCAUUGGAAACUACCUUGCUUGAGGAUUUGAGGGGGGAUUGGAAUACUUGGUGUAGCAGUGAAAUGCGCAGAUAUCAGGAAGAACACCCGUGGCGAAGGCGGCUCUCUGGGACGGUACUGACGCUGAGACGCGAAAGCGUGGGGAGCGAACAGG
rnacentral:rRNA from 1 species